AAGCACAAAAUGAGGCUACUCAGAUUGCAACAGAGGCGGUGUCUCAACACAGAACUGUGGCAGCUCUAUCUGCACAAGACAAAGUCGUGAGCUCUAUGAAGACGAUGCUUGAUGCAACAACAAAAGACGCAAAGAAACAGUCCCACAUUGCUGGCUUUGGCCUUGGAGUCGCAAACUUCGUCCUCUAUGCGUCUUGGGCCCUUCAGUUCUGGUAUGGAGGGGUGCUACUGACCCAGGGAAAGGCAACCUUGCAGGACGUUUUCAAGGUGUUCUUCGUGUUCUUGAGCACUGGCCGGGUCUUGGCCGAGGCUCUCAGCUUAGCACCGGACUUGGCCAAAGGAUCUGCAGUCAUCGAGUCAGUGCUUAGCAUUCUAAACAGGAAGACAGAGAUCAACGCGGACGACACGAAUUCUGCCAAAGUUGGCAGAAUCGAAGGAGAGGUGGAACUUUGCAAUGUGGACUUUGCAUACCCAUCGAGACCGGAGAUGAUGGUUUUCAAGAGCUUCAACUUGCGAGUAGAGGCGGGGAAAUCUGUGGCGCUAGUCGGCCAAAGCGGAUCCGGAAAAUCGACAAUCAUAGGACUCAUACAGCGAUUCUACGAUCCCUUGCAAGGCAUGGUGAUGAUCGAUGGAAGGGAUAUAAGAACACUUCACCUGAGAUCACUGAGAAGGCAGCUUGCACUCGUCGGCCAGGAGCCCGUCCUCUUGGCGGCCAGCAUCCGCGACAACAUCGCCUUUGGCCAGGAAUCCUGCAGCGAGCAAGAGAUUAUCCACGCAUCAAGCAUCGCCAAUGCCCACACAUUCAUAAGGUGAGAAGAGCGAGAGCGAGAGAGAAGAGCGAUCGAUCGAAAUAUGUGACUUACAUUGGGAUCUUUCCAGCUCCUUGCCCGAUGCCUACAACACGGCCGUUGGAGAGCGAGGUGCGCAGCUCUCGGGAGGGCAGCGGCAGCGAAUCG
rnacentral:lncRNA from 1 species